rnacentral:rRNA from 1 species
GAUGAACGCUGGCGGCAUGCCUUACACAUGCAAGUCGAACGGCAGCACGGGAGCAAUCCUGGUGGCGAGUGGCGAACGGGUGAGUAAUAUAUCGGAACGUGCCCAGUCGUGGGGAUAACGUAGCGAAAGCUACGCUAAUACCGCAUACGAUCUAUGGAUGAAAGCGGGGGAUCGCAAGACCUCGCGCGAUUGGAGCGGCCGAUAUCAGAUUAGGUAGUUGGUGAGGUAAAGGCUCACCAAGCCGACGAUCUGUAGCUGGUCUGAGAGGACGACCAGCCACACUGGGACUGAGACACGGCCCAGACUCCUACGGGAGCAGCAGUGGGGAAUUUUGGACAAUGGGCGCAAGCCUGACCCAGCAAUGCCGCGUGCAGGAUGAAGGCCUUCGGUUGUAACUAGCUUUGUACGGUAACG